GACGUAGGGCGCGAGCGUUGUCCGGAUUUAUUGGGCGUAAAGAGCUCGUAGGCGGCUUGUCGCGUCGUCCGUGAAAACCUGGGGCUCAACCCCAGGCUUGCGGUCGAUACGGGCAGGCUCGAGUUCGGUAGGGGAGACUGGAAUUCCUGGUGUAGCGGUGAAAUGCGCAGAUAUCAGGAGGAACACCGGUGGCGAAGGCGGAUCUCUGGGCCUUACCUGACGCUGAGGCGCGAAAGCUAGGGGAGCAAACAGG
rnacentral:rRNA from 1 species